UGAAGGACCUGAAGCUAUGCU
rnacentral:siRNA from 1 species